rnacentral:rRNA from 1 species
AGAGUUUGAUCCUGGCUCAGAACGAACGCUGGCGGCAGGCUUAACACAUGCAAGUCGCGGGAGAAGGUUCCUUCGGGAACUGGGCACCGGCGCACGGGUGAGUAACGCGUGGGAACGUACCCUUCGGCGGGGGACAACAGUUGGAAACGACUGCUAAUACCGCAUACGUCCGAGAGGAGAAAGGCUUCGGCCACCGAGGGAUCGGCCCGCGUUGGAUUAGCUAGUUGGUGAGGUAAAGGCUCACCAAGGCUGCGAUCCAUAGCUGGUCUGAGAGGAUGAUCAGCCACACUGGAACUGAGACACGGUCCAGACUCCUACGGGAGGCAGCAGUGGGGAAUAUUGCGCAAUGGAGGAAACUCUGACGCAGCCAUGCCGCGUGUGUGAAGAAGGCCUUCGGGUUGUAAAGCACUUUCGACGGGGAAGAUGAUGACGGUACCCGUAGAAGAAGCUCCGGCUAACUUCGUGCCAGCAGCCGCGGUAAUACGAAGGGAGCAAGCGUUGUUCGGAAUUACUGGGCGUAAAGGGCGUGUAGGCGGACCGAUCAGUCAGGGGUGAAAGCCAUGGGCUCAACCUGUGAACUGCCUUUGAUACUGUCGGUCUAGAGUCCGUGAGAGGAUGGCGGAAUACCCAGUGUA